CCGCCUCAGCUCCGCCUUGGGUCGUCAGGCAUUAGAUGCUCGUAGGAGUACCGGUCCCUGGUGCCACAAAGGUUGGGGACCACUGGUGUAGGGCACUGCAGUUUGGUAAUGCAGUGUUCUUACCUCUGUACUGUGAUUGUAGGUCUGUGACUGUGAAUACCUCAGUGGUGAAAGUUAGAUGAAUUAAAUGUCUCAGAGAAGACAAAACCUUUAGCACAGUGACGUGUUUCUCCGUUAUAUGCCACCUGGCCCUUAUGACAGUAUCUGCAUGUCUUCAGGCCUUGCAGAAGCAGCCACGUGGUCCUUGGAGACUAGAUUGAAGGCAUAAGCCAUUUGAUAACUUCUCUUUAACACUGUGCAAAUGAUUUUUCCUGAAAGAAAAAAAGCAAAUGGUGCACACAAAGAUUUCUGUUUCGUCACGUGGAUUUGGCAGAGGCAGUGGCAUGAAGGGGCCUCCUGGGGAUGCUCAGGCCCUACACUGUUUCGGAGCAAACUUCCGUUUGUCUCAUCAGGAAACAGGAGAUGUAUUGAUGAAUUGUCCUCUCAAUCGGUCCUUUUUGUGAGAGCCUGGAGCAGUAUCACUUGCCUGCUUUGCAAAGGGCGACAACUGGGGGUCUGUGGGCAGGCUCUGCCCAGUGCUAUGGCUCAGUCAUCCCUGUCACACUGCCCAUCUGGCGGGCCUUGGGGACGCUGAGCCACCCGCAGCCACACCCUUAGGGCCGGGGUUCCAAGCUGCGCCCGACUCUAGAGACUGAGCUCUCACGUGUGUUGUCUCAUGUCGCCGAGGUGACUUUCUCUGCAGUCACGUGUUGAGUUACUCGGAAGAGUUUCUGGGCACCACAUCUUCCCACGUUCACUCUCUCGAGCCGUGAGGCCCACAGUGGAAGCUUGUAGCACGGCUAUUUAAAAUUUAAAUUUAAUGAAAAUUAAAAGUAAUUAUGUGAAUUAAUUACAGUUGCCCUUGAACAUGAGUUUUAGCUGUGUGGGUCCACUUGUAGAUUUUUUUCAGUAAAUACAUACAGUGCUGUAAAUGUGUUUUCUCUUUCUUCUGAUUUUCUUGGUACCGUUUUCUUUCCACUGGCACACUUCGUUGUGAGAAUGUAGCAUAUCACACAUAUAACACGCAUGAUGGUGUCAGUAGAUGAUUAGCAGUAAAGUUUUUGAGGAGUCACAAGUUACAUGUUCUUCGGUCACAUUAGCCACUUUUUAGGUGCUCAGCAGCCCCUUGUGACAGUUGGCUUCUGUUUGAGGAGGGCAGAUGUGUGACGUGCCCAUCACAGGACAUGCUGUUGAACAGGGUGUCCCUGAGUCAGGGCCUGAACACGGGAGCCAGGGAGACGCCCAGAGCUCACUGUGGGCCUUGCAGGGGGCCUGGGGUGGGGCGACAUCUGUGGCCCUGGCCUGCCCACAAUGCACUGCAGGCCAAGGUGGCUUCCUGCUGCCACCGGCAGUAGUGCGAGUGAAGGACUGAACUGUUAAUGAAUAAACCUCUUCUUCAGACGUACAGUUGGCCUUGGACAGCGUGGGGGUUGGGGUGCCCAACCCUGUGCAGUUGGAGCCCCUUGGCUCUGUGCUGGUGGGGCUGUGCUGUGUCCUCAGGACCGGGGUGCUGUCGGCGCAGAGCAGACCCGCUUCCUUAGUCCAGUCCAAGGACAGCACUGCCCAGCUUUAAACCAGCAAGUAACAAGCUCUUUCAAUAAUCAAACUGCUCGUCUCACAUGGAAGCCGGCCCUUUCUGACUGACGGAGCUCGGCUCUGCGGGAUGCUGGUGUGACUGAAUUAGGCUUUAAGGAUGCAACUGUGAGGAGGGCCAACCCAUGACGUCACUGUCUCAAGUCUUUUCAAGGGACAAGAGUGUUUCAGGUUCCCUGAUUGCUGAAGUGUGCCCGCACCCUUGCAGAACUUCUUCCCUUCUUCAUGUUCCCAUUUAAACCCAAGCUAAAUCCAAGGUCCCUGAGCCUUUGCUAGUGAGGACAGCAGCUGUAGUGGUGUGCGUGGAAGUGGAGCCCUUCUUCUGUGACACCAAAGGAGUGCGGUUGUACAGCGUCAUCUUCACGUCUGAACCGAAGCCUGAUGGCAUCAGCCCCCAGAGCACACGCUCGUAGACUGCUGGCUCUCGAGCGUGUCCCAGCACGCCAGUGAGUGAUUAACUGCUUCCUCGGGGCACCGGUCUGGCAGAGUUCAUUCUGAAGACACAACUUGGAGAUCUGAAAACAUGGUGAAGAGCGUGGACUGGCCGCUUUACGUAUGUUCACUCAGCACUUAUUGAUGCUCCUCAGUGCCAGACACCUCGGCACCUGCAGGAUCCCAUUUAGGAAGAUGGCCGCGUCCAACAUGGCACUGCAGCGUGGAGCCAGGCGGUACCUGAAGAGUUGUGGAUACUGGAGGUGGAGUGAUUAACUUUCCGUGGGCUGCCAGAAGGUCUCACACGUGGGGACCUUUGAGAUGGGCCGGAAAGGCAAGUGCGUGGAAAUGGUGCCUUCUUAGCAGGAGGCCGUGAUGCCUGUGGCUGGGGAGACCGCAAGCCAUUUUGUAAUAUUUUGUUCCAGUUCUUCAGUGGCUCUCCUAUAGGCUUUUCUUACUUUGUUUGGUGGAGGACGUCCCUUUGCUGGCUGUAUAUGUAUAAGUCUAAACUUCCUGCCUUAUUAGUUUGGAUCGUUGUGGUGUGAUAGAAUCCCUAAGAAGGCAUUUUUAUCGCAUAAUCAUCAUUAUUUUGUGGUUAAAUAACCUGCAAGUAUGGUGAGUUAUGACGUCAGUAGUUUUGAGGCCGUUAAUAUUGAAAACAUGUGGACAGCAUGAAGUUAAACACGUGCCAUGCUUUAGAAACAUUUGUUCUGUGGUCUAAAUUAGGGACCUGAGUUGGUAACAACCUUCAUAUUCAAAUCCAAAAUGGGGAUAAUGAAAUUUUAUGGUUUCUUGUUUCUGUUGAGAAUUGGCCUCAAGCACAGUCUUGUGUAAAUAACAGUUUGUGUGUAGGCCAGUGCUAAGGGCAGGGAGUCCAUCGAUCUUGUCAUCCGUAGUGAUGAGGAAUUUAGACUUUACUAGAUUUGGCAGGAAAUCCUGAGUGGCAAAUUGAAAGAAUGUUUCAGGAAAUACUGGAAUCUGGCGAAAUUAAUAGGUUUGGCUUAUGAUUUCCUAAGAUUCCCCCAAAGCUAGUAGUUGAGAUGAGACAGUUGUAGAAAUUCCGUCAUGCUGCCCCAGGUCCCCAUUUUAAGGCGCAGACUUCACUUGGAUGUAAAAUGUUCCAUGUUUAAGUCCUGGUGGCUGAUGACACUGUAGUGACCACCCUCUACACUGAAGCAAUGAGGUUGUGCUUCUCAGGUAACGUCAGCACUGGGUGCGUCUCCUGCAGGAAGAGAGAACUGAACCCCCUGUGCACGCACAUGCGCAGACACACACCACGUGCGCAGAUACACACCACGUGUGCACACACACGCUAGGUGUCCCCUGUUCUCACCGUUUCUAGAUGCUUGAGGUGUGCAGUGAUCUCAAUGCUGAGAUCUCCUGUAUUGUCUCACAGCAGUUUCAUCGUUCAUGAUUUCUGCUUUGCCUGUGCUUUGUAGAGUUUUCAGAUACUGGCAGACUUUCCAGCAUCCUUGAACUUCAGCUUUUGUAAGAAACCAAUAUCGAGAAUGUGUAGGAAAAGCUGCAAGCCAACAAUUUGAUUGAGAAAACCCAUAAUAUAUGGCCUGGUCCUGAGUGCAAGUUUAUGUUUUUCCUUUUCCCCAAGUUUUGGUAUCGCUGAUCUCUAACUGGCCAAGAGUAAAUUGUGCUUGGUGAAAUCAUAGGCAACCCCCCCGCAUGAACUUAAAUGGUUCUUUUUCCUUUAAUAUAUCUGUUUAGUUCGUAUGAGAUAAUAGAAUCGAGAAAAGUGUUUUUGAAAGAAAUCCAUCUCUGUAGUUUUGGAGAAAUAAAUAUAUAUAUUUUUUCUGGAUAGUUACUUUAAAAAGAAAAAGAAAGCCAGUACUCUAAAAAUGUAUAUAAUCAAGAGGCUGUUCAUUAUAAUGAGAUAAGAUUUAGAGUAUUAAAGUUGAAACUCUCUAUAUUUGAUUUUAGGUUUUGGGGGAGAGUGUCUAUAUGUGUGUCUGUGUGUGUGUGUGUGCAUGUGUGCACAUUUCUGUGUUCUCCACACCACAGAGCUCUGGAAAUGUGUUGAGCACUCAGUAUUUUCUUAAAUCACGUUGGUUGACAUUUCCAUGACCAUGUUCGUGAUUAAUGUUGUUGUCACGUGAUACGAGAUUUGGGUCCUAAAUUUAGGUUCAACAGAAAAUUACCACAGACAUUCUCUAAGUAGUUUUACUUAGCAUUUGUGGAAACAGAAUCAUGGCCCCCAAAGAUAUCCAUGACUAGAUCCCCAGAACCUGUGAGUGCUACCCGGCUGGGCAGAAGAGACUUUGCAGACACGACUGAUUUAAGGGUCUUGAGAUGGGGAGAUGGUCUGGGGUCAUUCGGUGGCCCAGUGUCAUCACAGGGCCCUGAUGAGAGGGAGAAGGGUCACAGUUAGAGAAGGAGCCAUGACGUGAGCAGAGGAUGGGUGACGUAGGAGCCUGGAAAAGCUGGAAAGGACAAGGGAAGGGCUCUUGGAGCCUCACGAGGAAGCAGCCCUGCCCGAACCUUGAGCUCAGCCAGCGAGACAUCUGAGCUUCAGAGCGAAAAUUGAGUAACAGUGUGACGAUUUGUUAGAGCAGCAGUAGGACCUGGAUGCAGGGUUUCUGUUCUUUUCCUCCAGGUCUUUUCAAAAUGGCUACAUUAUAUCAGCUUUCACAGUGCCCUGAGUUAUAACUAGAGGUGGUUUCUAGGACAGGCAUUUAAACUACGGUGGAAAAGAGAAUUGGACAGAAACAGAUCUUCUUUGGAUGUAUUAAAACAGUGGGUCUUUUAAAAAAGGACAUUUCGGUCACAGUGUGAUCUCGUUAAUAACAUGUGUAGUGUUGGAAAUAAUUCUCCACUCUCUCAGGGAGACUAGGCUUUUAUGCGUUGGGUAUUAAAAUAAAACUUGAAAGCACAUGAGAGAUAGAAGUCCUGAAUCAUGUUAAUCCAUGUUUGAGUGUGGGAUACAGAAUUCACCCAAUUUACUAUUUGAAACAAUAAAAUUGCAUAAUUUGUUGAAUUUUUUAAUGUACUUUGUAAUAAAUAAUGUUCACAUGAAUUUUGUGCAUAAUAGUUGACAUGUCAGAACUUGAAUGUGACCAUCAGAUGUUUCCCAGGCGGACUGGUGGUGGCAGGGCAUUUCUGGGAAGGUCAUUCUGCAUGUUUUCGAGGUGUGAGGUAAGUUCUUGGCUCAUGGCCACGGAACUCGCUGUCUUUAUACAUCAGCACUGUUAAGUCUCCACAGCCUGUCUGGUGGGGCUGGUCGCCACCACAGUCGUUGUAGGAUGCGAAGUGCGGUUAGACAGGUGACACGGUGUUGCCCCUUCCCACAAGAGAGACUCAGCGCUCUGGUUCUCGGUAGAUUUGUCUUUUCCAACCCUGGCCUGCCCUCCAGGGAAUCCCAGUCACGUCUUGUUGUGACUCCCUGAAGUUCCCUGGCUCACUGAGAAACAACGUGUGGUCCUGUGCUGCGUGUCAGGGCUGCUGUGGUGGUGUCACGGUUGUAGGAAACAGGAGCGAGCGCAUGAUGCGGGGGUUAGUACAAAACGCCGAAGCCCUUCUGGGGACUCCUGCAGGAGGAGAAAUGUAACGCAAGGGCCCAAGAGCUCAGCUGACCUUGAGAGCCUGUUGGGAUGUGUCCAGAGCAUACAGACCUGACGUCUGUGUGCUGGGAACAAUCCUGAGCCCUGUGUCCUGCUGGACAGGAUGGCUGAAAAGUCCCUCAGCCUUUUCUCGCUGCAAAAACUCUGCCUUCCCAUGUGCGCUCAGUAAGAGGCCUGGUGCCCGUGGACCUGGGGCCAGCCCAGGCCCUCCAGAUCCACCUCUGUGCGUGGCAAGCUGAGCUGCUCACCCCACCCAUCAGUGGGAGCAAAUGCUUGCCAACCAAACUCUGCUCACGCAUCUCCCCUUCCUGGCACCUGAGCUCAGAGCCAGCAUUUGGCCGUUUUAGUCCCCGCCGGGACAAGCUGGCCCGUGGUGAACUUUCUCUGACUGGCCUCUGGCCAGGCCACCUCCAUCCCACUCCAGGUCCCUGUUCGUAAAAGGCACACUCUCUGCCCCCACGAGAUGCAGGCGGACUGGGGGCCCGCUGUUCUCUCUCCCUGCUGCAGCCAGCUCCUCCAUACCCGCUGUAGUUUAAACGUGGGAGUUCCUGAGUAAAGACUGCAAAAAGACUUGAGUGCAUUUCUGUUUUCCUCAUGUGCAUUUCGACAUCUAAAAUGGGAAUGGUGAUUUUUGAAGCAUGGGUGCAUUUUUAAACUAUAGUUGAAUGUUGUAAACUUUAAUGUAGCUUCAUUUUAGAUUUCUUGCCUGAUUAGCUGGAAAUUUAUUGAUUCUGUGGAUUGGUGAUAAUGACUUAUGACUUUUUUCUGUGAAGUUAUCAAAGCCUUAUAAUUUAAAACGCGUGUAGUUGUGUAGAGCAGGUGAUUGGCUGGAAGAAAGCCAGCCUUUUGGUUUUCUAUUAACCACACACGAGGAAGUAAAAGUGGGCGUAGACAGAGGUGAAUCAUCCAGGUCAUGCGGGGCGGGGCGCCUGGAGGUUUAGCGGUUCCCCAGCAGUGUGUUUGCCCAUGUGGGUGGGUCAUGUGCCAUAACUCUUGGCAGAGCUGGCUGCCGAUGCGCACAGUUCAUCGCCCAGGAAGGUCAUACCUGCGUGAGAGAGCUUGUUUCUGGUGAGCCUCGGAAAACAUUGGUCCAGUCUGAUCGACCCUGCUGCCGCUGGGGCUCGGGUAAAGGACUGGCUGCCCCCUGUGCUGGCUGUUUGCUUGUCAGCACCCGCAUCCUUUCUGUGGACUUCCCGGGCAGCUGUCACUUAAGGGGGUCCCAUGCGUGAAAGCACCUUCAGAGUUGAGGAGCUGGGGCUGCAGCCAUGGUCAUGACAGCACUUCUCUGAGACUGGAAAGGAAGCAAAACGGAGAUUGUUCCAAAACGUACCUGUGAGAUCAUCUCACUGUUCUGAUGAAAGCGUAGUCAGAGGGUGCAGGAAGAGGACCCGGGAGAAGUCCUGUCGUCAGCUAGGGUUCUGGGCGUGGACUACCGUGGCCAGGCGGGUUGCUGGGGGCCUUCCUACACAGAGGGCCAGCUCAGGCUUCUGUAACAGGGUGCCCUAGACUGGCCUUAACCAACAGACAUUCACAUCUCAUGGCCUGGAGGCUGGACGUCGGAGGUCAAGGCGCCAGCAGGGUCAUCUUCUCCUGCAUCCUCACCUGGAAGGGGCGAAGGGGCGAAGGGGCUCUCUGGGUCUCUUUACAAGGACAGUAAUUCCAUCGCGAGGGCUGCACCCUCACAGCCUCAUCACCUCCCAGAGGCCCUACCUCCUGACACCACGACGUGGGGGUUACAGUGUCAUCCCAUGAAUCUGGGAGACACACACAUUCAGUCCACAGCACAGGGCGUCUGCCCCCUGGUGGCUGAGCAGGGAAGAUGUGGCCCUGUGGCUCCGGCUCCAUCAGGCCCUCAGGUGACACAACGGUCAAACCAGGUCCUCCCCACACGCACAGCACUUUAGGGACAGACUCUGUGAACCCACACUGCUCCCCAUGCCGCCCUCCCUUUGCCUGUCGCUCAUUCCCACAGUUUGGAUUGACCAGAGGUGUCCUGAUGUGUCUAGAGUGCUCCUGUUGGUCCAGCUGCCCAGGCGUGUACACGAGACGCUCCAAACCCUUCUAAAACCUUGGUGUGAGCCCUUACGUGCUCAUGUCUCCACACCUUUGACCAGCUGGACUCCACCUGUCCCCUGUGCGGAGCCUGGCAGUCUGGCUCAGUUGCCAUCUUCCUCUUGUCCCACAUGUCGUGGGAGAUGGCCUAGGCCCGUGCCAGACAGAAAUGAUAUUCCUGAAAAAGCCUGACUCUGGUACCCCACUUAAAGUUCUUAAAUGUUUGAUAUUCUUGCGCACACCACCAAAUUAGAAUCCUGGUCACUGUGCAUUACUUCAACGUGCAGCCCUGAGCCUGGGCUCUAAGCAGCACUCCCAGGUUCUCUGAGGAACCAAAAAAGCCACAGUAGAAGUUGUCACGACUGAAGCCAUGAAGCUGGCAUCGCUUAUCUAGACUUCAGUACCCACGGCGGUGCCGGUUGACGCCGACGCUCAGAGGAUGCUAAUUUAAUGACCCUUCCAGGGGUUUG